rnacentral:rRNA from 1 species
UGGGGAAUAUUGCACAAUGGGCGAAAGCCUGAUGCAGCGACGCCGCGUGAGGGAUGACGGCCUUCGGGUUGUAAACCUCUUCAGCAGGGAAGAAGCGAAAGUGACGGUACCUGCAGAAGAAGCGCCGGCUAACUACGUGCCAGCAGCCGCGGUAAUACGUAGGGCGCAAGCGUUGUCCGGAAUUAUUGGGCGUAAAGAGCUCGUAGGCGGCUUGUCACGUCGGUUGUGAAAGCCCGGGGCUUAACCCCGGGUCUGCAGUCGAUACGGGCAGGCUAGAGUGUGGUAGGGGAGAUCGGAAUUCCUGGUGUAGCGGUGAAAUGCGCAGAUAUCAGGAGGAACACCGGUGGCGAAGGCGGAUCUCUGGGCCAUUACUGACGCUGAGGAGCGAAAGCGUGGGGAGCGAACAGGAUUAGAUACCC